rnacentral:snRNA from 1 species
AGCUUUGCGCAGUGGCAGUAUCGUAGCCAAUGAGGUUUAUCCGAGGCGCGAUUAUUGCUAAUUGAAAUUGUCCGGGUAGUCCGUGGUUCAAAACUCAAAAGAUAUAAAAAGGCAUUCAGGGCAAAGCC